CAAUAGCGUAUAUUAAAGUUGUUGCGGUUAAAAAGCUCGUAGUUGAAUUUCAGCCCAAGGAACCGGCGAACUAUGUUCGAUCUGGGUUUGACGGCACACCGAGGUUGUUAUAUUGGUACUUAAUUGUGCCAUAUGAUGCCUCGACAUUUACUUUGAGGAAAUUAGAGUGUUUCAAGCAGGCGUUUGCCUUGUAUACAUUAGCAUGGAAUAAUAAAAUAGGAUUUCGGUUUUAUUUUGUUGGUUUCUAAAACUGAGAUAAUGAUGAAUAGGAACUGUCGGGGGCAUUCGUAUUUAACAGUCAGAGGUGGAAUUCUUGGAUUUGUUAAAGACGAACUAGUGCGAAAGCAUUUGCCAAGGAUGUUUUCAUUGA
rnacentral:rRNA from 1 species